UUCAUACUUUCUUUUUCAUCCUUGAUGUGUUCCUUGCAGAUUUUAGAGGCCUUGCUACCUAACAGUAUGAUUGUUCCUUCAGCUUUUGAAACAGUUGGGCACAUUGCUCAUCUGAACCUGAGGGAUGAACAUCUUCCACACAAGAAGCUUAUUGCAAAGGUAGUCUUGGAUAAGAACAAGCCAAAGAUACAAACAGUUGUCAAUAAGAUUGAUGCCAUUCAUAAUGAUUAUAGGACGAUGCAGCUUGAAGUUUUAGCUGGAAAUCGUUCCCUUGUGACUAUAGUUGUUGAGAAUGGACUGUGUUUUCAUGUUGAUUUGGCAACAGUGUAUUGGAAUUCAAGGCUAGCAACUGAAAGGCAGAGGCUUCUGAAUUGCUUCACAUGUUAUGAUGUUGUUUGUGAUGUUUUUGCUGGGGUUGGUCCUAUAGCUAUAUCUGCAGGAAGAAAAGUGAAACAUGUAUUUGCUAAUGAUUUAAACCCCUUUGCGGUUGAAUAUCUGGAAAGGAAUUGUGUCCUCAACGAACUUGAGAGGAAGAUAGAAGUUUUUAACAUGGAUGGAAGGAGGUUCAUUGAUGCUAUGUUUGCAAGUCAAAAAGCUCAAUCCAUCAAACAAGUGGUUAUGAAUUUGCCAAAUGACGCUGCAGAGUAUCUAGAUGUAUUCAGGGGAAUAUUUAGAACAAAGCCCAAGUAGAGAGAAAUUACCUUGCCAAAGAUCCAUGUUUAUGGAUUCUCAAAAGCAACGUCAAAUAUAUGGAUGAUGGAUGAUCUCGUGCACGAAGCUAAAUUGUACAAGACUACUUGGCAGUAUAAGCAUUUUUGGGAGGAUUAAAUAUUAUUGGAUGGAUGUGUAUGGAUAACAAAAUUAGUAGUUUUAUUUGUUGAUAGCUGCGCAUGAAUAACAAAUAGUUAUGUUUCAAUUUGUUAUGCUAGAUGGAUGUGACUUGUGAAUGAAAACUUGAAUAGUU